rnacentral:rRNA from 1 species
GAUCCUGGCUCAGGACGAACGCUGGCGGCGUGCCUAACACAUGCAAGUCGAGCGGGGACAUGCGACGGAAGAGAAGUUUUCGGAUGGAACUGAAGACGUAUGUUCUAGCGGCGGACGGGUGAGUAACGCGUGAGCAACCUGUCCUUCACAGGGGGAUAACACAGCGAAAGUUGUACUAAUACCGCAUAAGACCACAACGGGACAUCCCGAAGGGGUCAAAGGAGCAAUCCGGUGAAGGGUGGGCUCGCGUCCGAUUAGAUAGUUGGUGAGGUAACGGCCCACCAAGUCGACGAUCGGUAGCCGACCUGAGAGGGUGAUCGGCCACAUUGGGACUGAGACACGGCCCAAACUCCUACGGGAGGCAGCAGUGGGGAAUAUUGCACAAUGGGCGAAAGCCUGAUGCAGCGACGCCGCGUGAGUGAAGAAGUAUUUCGGUAUGUAAAGCUCUAUCAGCAGGGAAGAAAAUGACGGUACCUGACUAAGAAGCCCCGGCUAAAUACGUGCC